ensembl:lncRNA
GAGCAUUUUAACUUAUAACUUUUAACUUAUAUUAUUUAACUUAUAAUUUAACAUUAUAACUUUUUUUCUCUUAUCCUUACGGAAAAUUGACGCUCAUCAUUCAGCCACUUAGAGAUAACUAUUUUCCAGUCUCUGUCCAUUGAAAUUAUGUCUAUAUGUUUUCUUUAUUAAGCAGAAACUGUUUUGUAAACUGCCCCCUACUAUAUAGGGAACAUUUUGUUUGUUGUUAAAUCCCACUAAAAGGAUGUACCAUGAUUUAGAAUCACUGGCGUACUGUUGGCCUAAGUUUUCAGUAUUACAAAGAGCUGUGCUACACAUCUGUGCAAAUAAAUAUUUGCCUACGUCCCGGAUUGUUUUUCAUUCGAAUCGAUUUCUAGACGCAAGCUAAUGGGACCAAACGCAGAAAAGGAAUGGAAAGAUUGAGAUGGGCCCAAGUGCUCCGACAGAGCACAGCGACUACGGCACAGUGGCGGAGGCUUCAACAGUGGCUAUUGUUAUUACUUCCUUGAUUUACCCUAUGGCUGUCUCCCUUCUCCGCCCCCCCCCCCAUAAUUAUUAUUCAGAGCUUUCCUAAAUGAAGCAGGGCUCUGACUUCACCCGAACAGCAAGAGGUUUCCCAGGUAGGGAGGAUUGACCCGGCCUAGAGGCUCAGUAACCGGAGGAGGAACGGAGAGGGAGGAGGGGAGGUGGAAGGGAAGAGGCAUAGGCAGUCCAGAUCCAGUUUGUGGAUGGAUGUCCUUCCCAGGUGACAUCCAGGGCCGGACCCCGCCCCAUGUCCAUGCGUACGCUUGGCAGGGGGUGGUCGUGACAAUGGCCGUGACGACUGAUGGCCGUCCUUUGAGCUGCUGGCCUUGGGGAUCCCGCAGUCCCCCCCUUCCUCCCUCUCCCUCCCUAACCCCACACCUUCAGACCUCCUCCUCCCCUCCACCCGCGGCUGCCGGAGCCCCCACACUCUGGUUAUACUUCAUGCAGAGUAGUAGAAGAAGAGAGGACGAGACCUCGUCGCUAAAAGCAUCCUAUGAGGAAACGAAGGUUAAAAAAGGUUGCACAGCUAGUGAGUGGCAGAGCCCAGAUGUGAAUUCUAAGUGUGAGUGACUAAUGACUGUAAAUACGUAAUUAGUACGUUGUCUCACAUUUGUUAGUUCAUUCGUUCGUUCAUUCUUUCACACCAAACCUUCGCUGUGUCACAUGUGUUCCGGGUGGGUGGUAUAUGUGAGUGUCAAAACCCAAACCCUUGCGCCCAUGAAGCUUAAAUUCUAGUGGUGGAGAGUGGGGGAGACAUUCACUGGAGAACAGACUUGGUAAAAAGGGAAAUGUGUUAUGUCAGAAAGCAAGUGCUUUGGAGGUUAAGCAAGGUCGGGAAGACUAGGGGUACAGACAGGUGGUAAUUUGACCUAAGGCGGUCAGGGCAGGCCUCAAGGUAAGGGAGUCAUGGGUGGGUAUCUGGGGAGGAGCCUUCCAGUCUGAGGAGCAGGUGCACUAAGUCUUAAGAGCACAAUGUGUCUGUGACAGAGGGACAGCAAGGGGGCAGGCUGGUGGGAGCAGAGGCAGGGAGAAUGAUAGGAUAGAGGAGUGGGGGUGAGGAAUGUGAGGUGGCGGACCAUACAGUCUUGGAGGGCCUUGGAGGCCAUCAGAAGGGCUGAGCUUGCACUGUGAGCGAUGCAGGGCACACUGUAAUGCUAUAUAAUGUAAAAGCACUUGUUACCUCAAAGCAUUCAUGACAAUUGCAAUCUUUUCAUGGUCUUCCGGCCUCAUACAGCACUGAAUCUGCUCUUGCUAAAAUCAUUAAUAAACUCCUAAUUGGCAAAUUUAACA